UAGGGAAUCUUCGGCAAUGGACGAAAGUCUGACCGAGCAACGCCGCGUGAGUGAAGAAGGUUUUCGGAUCGUAAAACUCUGUUGUUAGAGAAGAACAAGGACGUUAGUAACUGAACGUCCCCUGACGGUAUCUAACCAGAAAGCCACGGCUAACUACGUGCCAGCAGCCGCGGUAAUACGUAGGUGGCAAGCGUUGUCCGGAUUUAUUGGGCGUAAAGCGAGCGCAGGCGGUUUCUUAAGUCUGAUGUGAAAGCCCCCGGCUCAACCGGAGAGGGUCAUUGGAAACUGGGAGACUUGAGUGCAGAAGAGGAGAGUGGAAUUCCAUGUGUAGCGGUGAAAUGCGUAGAUAUGUGGAGGAACACCAGUGGCGAAGGCGGCUCUCUGGUCUGUAACUGACGCUGAGGCUAGAAAGCGUGGGGAGCAAACAGG
rnacentral:rRNA from 1 species